UACAGAGGCCUCAAGUGUUGUUCGGAUUUAUUGGGCGUAAAGGGUGCGUAGGCGGCAGGGUAAGUUAGGCGUGAAAUGCCGAAGCUCAACUUCGGUACUGCGCUUGAUACUGCCUUGCUCGAGUGCUGGAGAAGAAGCUGGAAUUUACGGUGUAGCAGUGAAAUGCGUAGAUAUCGUAAGGAACGCCAGUGGCGAAAGCGAGCUUCUAGACAGUGACUGACGCUGAGGUACGAAAGCUGGGGGAGCAAACGGG
rnacentral:rRNA from 1 species